rnacentral:rRNA from 1 species
UCGAGAGUUUGAUCCUGGCUCAGAUUGAACGCUGGCGGCAUGCUUUACACAUGCAAGUCGAACGGUAACAGGCCGCAAGGUGCUGACGAGUGGCGAACGGGUGAGUAAUGCAUCGGAACGUGCCCAGUCGUGGGGGAUAACGCAGCGAAAGCUGCGCUAAUACCGCAUACGAUCUAUGGAUGAAAGCGGGGGACCGUAAGGCCUCGCGCGAUUGGAGCGGCCGAUGUCAGAUUAGGUAGUUGGUGGGGUAAAGGCUCACCAAGCCAACGAUCUGUAGCUGGUCUGAGAGGACGACCAGCCACACUGGAACUGAGACACGGGUCCAGACUCCGUACGGGAGGCAGCAGUGGGGGAAUUUGGACAAGUGGCGCAAGUCUGAUCCAGCAAUGCCGCGUGCAGG